CGAUAACGGGAUAUUACAUCGCUAUUUGAUCAGAGGUGUCUCUGAUUAUUUUCACUGGCCGAUCACUUGAUGUUUACUCCGGCACGCCACCACAGCACUCUAACCUUAUCUUUGCACUUCCUAACAAUAAUACGAACUCAAUAUAUUUAAUUAUAUACGUAUACGUGCAGCACUUUAAUGAAUUAAUCCUUACUCAAAUUUAUAUUUUUCAUCCUAUCAUGAAACCAUCUUCAAUUAACUCACAUCUUAAUACACUUUUUACUAACAUUACUUAUAUCCAUUGCUUAUGAAAUUCCUUAAAUUAUAUCACCAGCAACUUAAUUAUGAUGUCACGGGUCUACUUCAACCUUUCUAAAUAAUUUUCACUUAAAUCUAUCUUAUAUUUCCACACAUAAUCCACAUAUAUGGCAGCAACAAUUAUUCUCACUUUAACUCGAUUAUUUCCUAGUUUACACGCAUCAUUAUCUAUCUAACUUUCAAUACUUUGUUUCUCAAUCCUCCAUCCACAAUAUUCCUUUUUCAUUUCUUUCAAACAACAUGCCAUACAAUCUUAAUAAUUUUCAACUAGCUUAGUCAAAUAGAUCCUUUCAACAAUCGUAAUUCCUCACAAUAUUCAACUAACCGUAGGCUUUAAAACAUAGUGUUAAGCUUACCGUUUUCCUUUUCCACUUUGAGUCCUUCAUGUACCCAUGGGUUUAUUGGCUUACAUGUUACCAAUUUUUCUCCAAUCAAGCCAAUCUUUCC
rnacentral:lncRNA from 1 species